rnacentral:rRNA from 1 species
AUGACGGUGGCCGUGUGCCAUGUCAUGCCGGCGCCCGACGUCGCUCCUCCUCACACUCGCAUGCCGGCGCCGAUGCCACUGCCACGGCAGCUGGACAUGUGGAGCGCCAUCCAUGCCCCGUCCGACAACAACUGCGCCACCAAGCCUGAGCCUCGGGCGGUGAAGACCAAGGCCGGCUACCCGAUGGCGACGGUGCGGCGGUCCAUGAGCCACGAGAGCCUCAGCCUCUGCACGGAGAGCCUCGGCUGCGAGACCGGCACCCGCGGCGACUUCCUCGACCUGGCAUCCCUGCUCUACGCGCCGCCCCCACCCCACACAACCGACGAUGCCGUCGCCGCCGACUUCUUCUCUCCGCCGGCAUUGGAAGACCAAGAGGAGGAGAAGGAUGAGGCAGCGGGCGAGCUGACACUGAAGGCGGUGCAGUACCACCGCGCCCGGCCGCAGCGCGCGUUCCCGCCGCCGCUGCCGUCCAUGUCGCGCCGGCGCGGCGACGAUGCUGGGCCGUGCCUGCGGGUGCGCCCGCACCGCCGCGACGGGCGCCUCGUGCUGGAGGCCGUGGCCGCAAAGCCCCAGGGGUACCUCCACGCCCAGCGCCAGGACGGCCGCCUCAAGCUCUGCUUCGUCGACUGCUCCUCUGCCUCGGCCUCUGUUCUGGACCAUCAGAAGCAGAGCAUGGUGGAACAGCCACAGCAUGAACACCAGAAGCAGAGCAUGGUGCAACAGUCUCAGCAUGACGUGGAAGAGGAAGAAGAAGAGGAGGAGGAGGACGAGGUGGAGGUGGUUGACAGGGGCACGGUGGUGGAGGUGGUUGCGGCGUCCGGCAAGGCGCAGCGUUGCUCCAGGAUCGUCAUCAACAAGUUCGUGGGCGGCGCGCCGGCCACUGACGACCUGAACGCGAUCCCAUCCCCAUCGCGCGACUCCAGAGCUGCUGAGGAAGAAGCCGCUCCGCCAGCGGCGCCGGGGCUGCGCCGGGUGCCGUCGUCCACGACGACGCUGGCGGCCGCGGUGGCCGCCGCGUCCACGGGCAUGCAGUCCGACGAGGAGGAGGAGGAAGAGGCUGACCAGAAGGGCGAGGAGGAGAGCGCGGCGCUGCUGUUCACGUCGCGGGUGGGGGACAGGGAGGAGCUGGUGCAGAGCGUGAGGCGGUGCCGGCAGCUCCGGCAGAGGCCGCUCUUCAUCGUGGAGCCAUACUCCAUCAUCGCCGCCUGA